GGGCGUUGUUCGUGUGAGAGCGGAGGGUGGCGUGGCCUGCGGUGGUGGGAGUGGACAGGGGAGAGAAGGGAAUGGAUUAGGGGUAUAUUUUGGAGGUAGAACUAAGAGUACUUGGUGAUGGAUGUCGGUGGAGGGUGACGGAGACACAGGUUUAGAGGGUUCCUUUCAGGUUUCUGGUUUGAGCAACUAGCUGGGCUGGAGGGGGUUGGGUGGGAAAACCAGGUGUAGGCAGUGGUGGGGAGGGCAGACCCCAAGCUCACCUUUGGACAUGUUUGAGAUGCCAUGAGACACAUGAGGGAGCUGUCAAGUCAGCGCUGGGUCUGUAAGCCUGCAGGUGGGCUCAGGAAGACCACCCGGGUUGAGCUGCGUCUCUGGGAGCUGUGGGCCCAUCGAUGGUGUUGAAAGAGGUGAAAAGAAGUUCAGUCUCCCAAGGAGACUGUGGAGGUGAGAGGAGAGCGCCGGGCCUGAGCCUGAAGAGGUCAGUAGAUGGGGAGAUGAAGAAGGAAAGUCAGAGAGGAUGGUGGCAAGAAAGCCAAGAAAAGAGAGAGUGGAAGGCGUGUUAACUGAGGAGGAAGAUGGAGGCAUCUGGAACCACUGUGGGAUUCUGUGCAGAGAUUAGGAGUAAGGACAAUAAUGAACACUUAAGGACUCACCGUCUACCAGACAUGGGCUAAAUGCUUUACACCACUUCUCUUAGAUAAUUCUCCCAAGAACUCUGCAGCAUCUCCACUUUACGAAUGAGGAAACGGAAGCACAGCUGUCUUGGGCUUGCCCGGGGCCACACCGCUGAUAGCAGCGGUGCCAGGUCUCACAGUGGUUCUUACUGACUGGAGGCUCUGCACCCAACCAUGGCCCUCACUGCCUUGAUUCUUGGCCCAUACGGGCAAGGAUGGAUGUGCCUUAAACUCACCGUUGGUGCUUUAGAGCUUAGAUUGGGAGGUCUCACUUUAUUGGAGAAUAAACACGAAAACCACUUUGUUUUCUAGUAAUGCCUACUGGCUGUGCUGUGUUGACCAUGACCUGGGCAGCAGGUUCCCUUGGCAACUUCUCAAUUGGGUUCCAUAAUUUUGCACUCACUUCUGCUUAUUGCAACAGUCUCCUGGUUAUUGGAACUUACUCUCAUUCAUUUUGCAAUUUCAACUUCAACUUCAGAGUCCAUUCAGAGCUCCUUGCCUCCUCCCAGCCCUGGCCGUGUCCCUGGAGCCGAGGCUUGGAGAGGAGGAAGGCGUGGUCUGUUUGCUCGCACACCCUCCCUCUCUGUGCAUUUCCCCUGUGUGGUGGUGGUGGCGGGGGUUGGCUGGAGGGAUGGGACAGGGGCUUGCUUGCUUUCUUUCAGGAGGUCAUUGCCUGGUGCAGAUGUUGACCGUGGGUUUGGUGUGGAGAAGUGGAAACCCCAACAAGCCCCCAGGGGUCUGUUGGGAGCUCAGCAAUUUCUAAGCUUUGCGAGCCUGGACCCCAUCUUUCCGACGUCCCCCAGUGGUGGCCUGGUGCCACAUCCUCUUGUUGUCGCCCCGAUUUGGCUCAUGGCUCAGUGGUGUCAGGUGCGCCUGCAGCCCAGUCUCUCCUCUCCGUGGCCUCAUUGCUGGGCUUACGGCAGAGGUAGAUGCAUCUUUAGUUCUUCUGACGCUGGCACUCUCGUUCCAGCCACCUGGCUUCAGGUCCUGCUCGUUGGACAGGGCGGGAAGGCCAAAGGCUACGGAGCCCACCAACCCAGACGCCUUCCUCCGUUUCUUGCAGACGCUGCUAAAUGUGGUGAGGGAGGCUCUGAGGAGAGGGGAGCCACUCUCUUCUGUCACACAGCCUCUGAGUUCCCACGCCUCCCCCCUCACCUCCUCGUGAGGAAGAUCGGCAGGCCAGUUCUCCGCUUCUGCCCCCGAGCGCCGGAGCCCCCUUUGAGCCUGAAGAAUGUGGAACCUUCUGUUUCUGUGUUCCAUGUCUGGGGUCACGUCUAUGACCUCAGAGGUUGAGAGAAGACCCCAGUCAGGGCCUCACUGUUAGGGUUAGGGUUAGCUUGGUGCAGGGGACUGGAUUCCUCUCAGAAAGCUGGCUGCCACGGCAUCUCGGCAACUGUGAAUUUGUAGCUCUAGAGCACCCGGGAAGGGGUAGAAGGACCCGGGAUUGUCCCUUUAGGCUGACCUAGAGAGGAGCAGGGCCAGCUGUGGACUUUUCUCCCUGUUGCUUUGCUUUCCCGAGAGACAGGCCGCGUGAGAGGGUGGCACACUGAUCCUCUCUGGCCAUACAGGGCUCCCGGGGGCCACGAGCAGAGGUGUGGGGCCUGGUGGCCCUGGUCACCCUGAAAAAGGCAAAUCGACACUACAUCUUCCUCAGUCUUUGCAGGAACCGGGCCUGGUGAUGGUCACCAGGGCUCCUGAUGGAUAUGAUGACAUAGAGGCUGCCCUCGAAAUGCCAGCGAGGUGGUUAAAAGCACUGGCCAGAAUGAGGAAUGCAGAGAUGUGAGAACAGGCUCAUAGCCCAUCAGACUGUAUUAAGCUAAGCAAUACAGGUGUCCACUUGCCAGCACAGUCGCCGUCGCCAAGGCCACAUCACCCACAGGGGGUGGAGGAAGAAGCCAUGCGGAUUCAAGGUGCUGAACUUCAACCAUAGACGCUCCUUAUAGCAUCAGACGAGGUUUCCUUUUCACUUAAAAGAAAGCCCAGAGGUGCUGGCCGGUGUCUCCGUGGAAGGGAGACGCGGAGGACGCACGUCUGGAGCAUCAGCAGAGCUUUACGACGCAGAUUCAGACAACCAACGAGAACCGCUCCCUCCGCAGGGGUGUCAGAGCGCGGGGCUGGAAAUUAAUUUAGCCCAGUGCCCACUUUACCAAGAUGUGCGUGACCUUCCCAAGGUCACCUAGCUAGAAGCAGAACUGAGAGCCCUGGUCCCCCACCUCCUCAGCACGUCCAAGUUCAAGUGGAGAGGAGCACUGAGGACUUCAGACCCUCUAAAGGUCUCCUUGAACUCCAGCAGGAUUUAAUAAUAGCUGGCUGGGAAUAGAAAUGUGGAUGCUGAAGGAGAGCGCUUGAACAGGCCGCGACAGGAACAGUGGUCCCGCACACACGGCCGUCCCGUGCGGGUUUCCGGCGGGGAAGAGAGAGGAAGCAGGUGGCACUCUCUGGAUAAGCCCCUGCUCCCUCCGAGGCCUCUCCUCCGGUCUUCAAGGAGAACAUCGAGCCGUGUCCUCUCACUGGGAGCUCCCCCCAGGGUCACGGAGAAAACCAAGGCCCGAGGAGGGCCAGCCUCGGAGGGCGCGGCGAGGAGCGGCUGCCAGGCUGGGGAGUCCUGGGCUGUAGGAGCUCAGCGCCGGCCCAGCCUCGGCCUCGGUCCCCGGCUCCUUCGGACCCGUCCGGUUUUGUUGAUGGGACGGCGUUCAGCUGCUGGGCAGCCCGCCGUGGACGGAGGAUGCACUGGGCGCCGGCACAGGCAGCGUCUCCCUGUCUGAGCAUCACCCUCGUCUCCCACGCUGCCCCCCGGGGAGAUGUUUCUCCAGGAGUCGUGUUUGGUUUGGGAUCUGAGCCUGGAGCCUGUGAGAACUGGGAUGGACUCAUCUUUCCUCUUCUUUGGACUCCCGCCCGCCCCAGUCACCACCACCGACCCUGCGGGGCAGGGGCACAUCGGAGUCCAGAUGGGCCCUGUUUCCCUCAAGGAUGGGCCCGUUCCAGCUUCGUUUCACUGCCUCCCCUGAGGAUCCUGUAAACAUUUCCAGAAGGAUGCAGAUAAGAAAAAAAGGAUCUUAUGUAAACACUGGAUGGCUAGGGACCAGGAGAUGUUAUUAGUUUAUUAGGGUUUUACAAAUACCCAAAAGCUCAGCUAAAGGAAAGCAGAAAUGUGCUUUUGUUUUAACCUCUGCUGUUGUUGUGAGGGUCAGGAACGGGCUGGAAGCGGGCCUCUUGGUGGACAUGUGAUGCUGUGAGGAUCACAGGAGGGGCAGUGGGGCAAUGACAGACAUCUGACUGCGGUGACCUUCCCGGCCAGUGAGGAGUGGGGACGGCGGUAGGGGAGCCGAACUUUCUGUAAAUUAAGGAGGCCAGAGAGCAGUGUGCAGGCUAGACACAGCUCCUCCUGGUGCCUCAAGGAUCUUCCCUGGCUCCCUAGCCUUUUCUUGAACAACUCCCACCCCCUCUCCCCCGGGAAUCACGCUUUCAUUGCUUUGCUCUGUGUUCCAGGAACACAGCCGGCUCUGCCCCACAGCAGGGUCUCAGCACGCUGUUCCUUCAAUGUGGAAAGCUGGUCCCAGGCACUUUGCUUAGCUGACUCCUCCUUAUCUCUUCAGGUUUUAGCUUAAAUAGCAC
rnacentral:lncRNA from 1 species